UUCGCUGUUCAAGACAUGUAUAGGCGCUGCGAAAAGCGCCGACAACGCCGCCUGUCGCCACGGCUCGGAAGCGUAGGCGGGCUCGGGCGAGCAGUGUUCCCGUGAGCGUCUAGGCGAGUGCUGUAGUUGCUCUGAUAGUUGCGUUUUCUAUCGAAAUUUAAAGCUUCUAUUAGCCUUCAGCG
rnacentral:lncRNA from 1 species